rnacentral:rRNA from 1 species
AACAAACGCUGGCGGCGUGCCUAAUACAUGCAAGUCGAACGGGGAAAGCUUUCGGGUGAGUACUAGUGGCGCACGGGUGAGUAACGCGUGGAUAAUCUGCCCUCGAAUGGGGAAUAACUAGUCGAAAGAUUAGCUAAUACCGCAUAAGACCACGACUACUGAGGUAGUUGGGGUCAAAGGAGCAAUUCGUUUGAGGAUGAGUCCGCGUAAGAUUAGCUAGUUGGUGAGGUAAUGGCUCACCAAGGCGAUGAUCUUUAACUGGUCUGAGAGGAUGAUCAGUCACACGGGAACUGAGACACGGUCCAGGCUCCUACGGGAGGCAGCAGUAGGGAAUAUUGGACAAUGGGGGCAACCCUGAUCCAGCGACGCCGCGUGAGCGAUGAAGGCCUUCGGGUCGUAAAGCUCUGUUGUAAGGGAAAAAGUUCUGAUUGUACCUUACGAGAAAGGAUCGGCUAACUUCGUGCCAGCCGCCGCGGUAA